rnacentral:rRNA from 1 species
UACGUAGGGUGCGAGCGUUGUCCGGAAUUAUUGGGCGUAAAGAGCUCGUAGGCGGUGUGUCGCGUCGGCCGUGAAAACCUGCAGCUCAACUGUGGGCUUGCGGUCGAUACGGGCAUCACUGGAGUUCGGCAGGGGAGACUGGAAUUCCUGGUGUAGCGGUGAAAUGCGCAGAUAUCAGGAGGAACACCGGUGGCGAAGGCGGGUCUCUGGGCCGAUGACUGACGCUGAGGCGCGAAAGCUGGGGGAGCGGACGGG